UUCAAAUGAAGACUCUGUUUCUCAACCUCUUCCUGAUCUGGUAGAUUCAUUUGAAGAAUGAUAUAUGUACACUAAAUACUCUCACACAAAGCAGCUUGGAACAGAUUUCCAGAGUCUAUGGGAACUAGGGAACAUCUUUGCUUUUGGACUAUUUAUAUCACCAAUGUAAGUUCCACAGGCAUACAAUAUAGGUUUGCUUUUGGUUCAGUCUCAAUUUCAGUUUGUUUAUUGUUUUUGAAGUUUAAUUUGAUAAUCUAUGAAGCAUAAAUCACAUUGUUGUGUUUGAUUUGGCCACCAGACUGGAUCCAUUGUUUAUAUAUUCUGAAAAACGAAAACAGAAAAUGAAAAUAUUAAAAGCAAACAUGAAGGUGUGAGGGAUGAGAUAGUGUGCUUCAAUUAUAGGAUUCAUAUGUUUAUUUUGCAGAUCUCUCUCUCAGUGAACGUGCACAUGUUUCCAAAAUCACCAACAUGAAGAUGCCACGGUGAAGGCCAUAAAAUAUAUAAAAGUCAAAGAGUAUCAUUUAUACCCAACUUUGGUGGUGUGCUAUUUAUACAGUAAUGCUCUAUCUCAGCCUACGUUUCAUUUUCCAUUUAGGACUCUACUUGUCUACCUAGUAUUCCUUAUCUAAAAUUUAUCUUCCUAAUUGGGUUGGGUUUAUCGCCUUAAGAAUAUCAUUUAUACCCAACUUCGGAGCCGCGUCCAAUGUCACAACCUAAACCAUUAUCAUCCUACCACAUGCACCACAAUCCGAUAUCGUACAAUAUAAAUGAGAUCUUGAACCAAUGUGGUGCCACUCAAAAAUACGUUCUCACACUUAAUUAAAUCAAUGUGUUCUGUAAGGAGAACACAAAGGGACUAACAAGAGACCCAUGUUUUCUAGUCUUAAAUUUUCACAAGAUCAACAACCUAAUCAUUUGCAGCAGCAUCUCACAUUUUUUAGCCUUGAAUUUUCUCAUUUCUUUUCUGUAAUUCUUACCGCCAAAUAUAGCUUCCUCUUCUUUUUUUGAAUCUGCCCAUUCUUGUUGUUCUAUGAUUCUAACUGUUGUUAAAAAACCCAAUUGUUGCAUUGAAAAUUUACUUAAUUUGCAAAGCACUAUGUUUGUGAAAUUACGGAGUCCAAAGUACUUAAAGGGGAUGAAUAGGUCAACCAAUUAAAAUUAUUGAUUUUAAGUUUAAUUUUAGUUGAUCAAACAGAUUGAAUCAUGAAUAAACAAUCAACACAUGAAUAUCAUAUUUUACAUGAAAAACCCAACAGGAUUGGUGAAACACAACAGGUGGGAAAUUUUGACAUUAAGUUCUUGCAAUCUACGGGAGCAUUUGGUGGGUGAGAUUGAUAUAUUUAAUUUUGUUGGCUAUAUACAUGGUGGAUUUCUUUAUCCUUUCCUGCACUGUUAUUAUGUGGGUGAGGUUGCAUUAUUCAAUUUGAUAAAGCCUCAAUUCCAAGUCCUUGUGGCUACAGAAUCAUCUUCUACCAUUCAGCUCUGUUUAGAGACAUGUCUCUCUGAUACAUUGUAGGCAAUUAUUUUCCUUCCUCCUUUACCAUUGUUUGUUCUCUUGUGUAAUGGGUAUAACAUUGUCUAUUCUCUAAUUUACAUAUUUAAUUCUUCAUUGUGGUAUUUUUCUUCAAAUUUAUCAGACAUGCACUAGUAGUUUGCUAAUU